rnacentral:lncRNA from 1 species
UCCCCACUUAAGUCGUGAAUGGGAGAUUUGUAAGGUGGGUUCACUCUUAAAGUGGGCCCCAUUAUUUAUUUAAAAAAAGAAAAAAAAAGAGAAAAAGAAUAAAAAAAAGUGUUAGGUUGUUUGUAUUGUGAUUAACAGUAUUUUGUUAAAACAAGUGAAAUAGAAAUAUGUUGGAUAAGAUGUCUUGACAUGCUUGUACGACAUCGUGG